UCAUAUUCAAUUUAUUAUUUGACUCAUUGCUUUAUUAUAUAUAUUUUUAUUUUUUGCGUAGCUGAGAACCUCAGACAAGGUUAUGUAUUUACAUGCUCAUGCUUUAACAAAAGAUAAUGUAUUAUUUUUUGUUUCUAUACCGAACUAGAUAUUUUACUCUUAUGAAAUACUAGAGAUGUUUGGUGUAGGUGAUUAGGAAGUUUUAUUUUUUAAUUAUUUUUUAUUUUUUUAUUUAAAAAUAUUUUUUUUUGAUAAUCGACUGUUGAUAUUAUGUUCCAUAUGUCCUUUUUAAGUUUUUGGUGCUUAUUAAAGCACCAGAGGGGGGUUAUGUGGGAGAAAUUAGGUACAUAUAUGGAUAAAUAUAUUGUCCUAUAUAAUGGCAUUUGCCAUUCUGGUAAGGUACAUUGUCUAUUGUAUAGGACAGGAAGCCAGAGUGGGGCCAUGGGAGAGGGCAACACCUAGGGCAGCUGGACAUACAAAGGUCAGAGGUUAUCUAAGGAGGGGGUCAGCCAAAGGACCAAUUGAUGGAUUACAGACAUCAAUCACAUCACAGGAGACAAGUCUGUUUGAUCUUAGACAAC